CAGGACGAACGCUGGCGGCGUGCCUAAUACAUGCAAGUCGAGCGGACAGAUGGGAGCUUGCUCCCUGAAGUCAGCGGCGGACGGGUGAGUAACACGUGGGCAACCUGCCUGUGAGACUGGGAUAACUCCGGGAAACCGGGGCUAAUACCGGAUAAUUCUUUCCCUCACAUGAGGGAAAGCUGAAAGAUGGUUUCGGCUAUCACUUACAGAUGGGCCCGCGGCGCAUUAGCUAGUUGGUGAGGUAACGGCUCACCAAGGCAACGAUGCGUAGCCGACCUGAGAGGGUGAUCGGCCACACUGGGACUGAGACACGGCCCAGACUCCUACGGGAGGCAGCAGAAGGG
rnacentral:rRNA from 1 species